AGCUCCAAUAGCGUAUAUUAAAGUUGUUGCGGUUAAAAAGCUCGUAGUUGGAUUUCAGUUCUGGACUGACGGUUCACCGCCCGGUGCAUACUGUCACGCUCCGAACAAGCAUAACAGCCCGCUGGCUCGCACGGGGUGCUCUUCAUCGAGUGUCCCGCGUGGCCGGCAGAGUUUACUUUGAAAAAAUUAGAGUGCUCAAAGCAGGCUACACUUACGGCCUGAAUGCCUAUGCAUGGAAUAAUGGAAUAGGACCUCGGUUCUAUUUUGUCGGUUUUCUGAACCCGAGGUAAUGACUAAUAGGAACAGGCGGGGGCAUUCGUAUUGCGACGCUAGAGGUGAAAUUCUUGGACCGUCGCAAGACGAACUACUGCGAAAGCAUUUGCCAAGGAUGUUUUCA
rnacentral:rRNA from 1 species